CCCUACGGGGGGCAGCAGUGGGGAAUAUUGCACAAUGGGGGAAACCCUGAUGCAGCGACGCCGCGUGAGCGAUGAAGUAUCUCGGUAUGUAAAGCUCUAUCAGCAGGGAAGAAAGUGACAGUACCUGACUAAGAAGCCCCGGCUAACUACGUGCCAGCAGCCGCGGUAAUACAUAGGGAGCGAGCGUUAUCCGGAUUUAUUGGGUGUAAAGGGUGCGUAGACGGGAAUACAAGUUGGUUGUGAAAGCCCUCGGCUUAACUGAGGAACUGCAACCAAAACUAUAUUUCUUGAGUAUCGGAGAGGAA
rnacentral:rRNA from 1 species